rnacentral:rRNA from 1 species
AGAGUUUGAUCCUGGCUCAGGAUGAACGCUGGCGGCGUGCCUAACACAUGCAAGUCGAACGAAGCUUGACGGAUGAUUUCUUCGGAAUGAAACCAGAUAUGACUUAGUGGCGGACGGGUGAGUAACACGUGAGCAACCUGCCUUUCAGAGGGGGAUAACGGCUGGAAACGGUCGCUAAUACCGCAUGAUGUGUUCGGAUGGCAUCAUCUGAACAUCAAAGAUUUAUCGCUGAAAGAUGGGCUCGCGUCUGAUUAGAUAGUUGGUGGGGUAACGGCCUACCAAGUCUGCGAUCAGUAGCCGGACUGAGAGGUUGAACGGCCACAUUGGGACUGAGAUACGGCCCAGACUCCUACGGGAGGCAGCAGUGGGGAAUAUUGCACAAUGGGGGAAACCCUGAUGCAGCAACGCCGCGUGAAGGAUGACGGUUUUCGGAUUGUAAACUUCUUUUCUUAGUGACGAAGACAGUGACGGUAGCUAAGGAAUAAGCAUCGGCUAACUACGUGCCAGCAGCCGCGGUAAUACGUAGGAUGCAAGCGUUAUCCGGAUUUACUGGGUGUAAAGGGAGCGCAGGCGGGACUGCAAGUUGGAUGUGAAAUACCGUGGCUUAACCACGGAACUGCAUCCAAAACUGUAGUUCUUGAGUGAAGUAGAGGCAAGCGGAAUUCCGAGUGUAGCGGUGAAAUGCGUAGAUAUUCGGAGGAACACCAGUGGCGAAGGCGGCUUGCUGGGCUUUAACUGACGCUGAGGCUCGAAAGUGUGGGGAGCAAACAGGAUUAGAUACCCUGGUAGUCCACACUGUAAACGAUGAUAGCUAGGUGUGGGGGGUCUGACCCCUUCCGUGCCGGAGUUAACGCAAUAAGCUAUCCACCUGGGGAGUACGACCGCAAGGUUGAAACUCAAAGGAAUUGACGGGGGCC